rnacentral:rRNA from 1 species
AGCGAACGCUGGCGGCAGGCCUAACACAUGCAAGUCGAACGAACCCUUCGGGGUUAGUGGCGGACGGGUGAGUAACACGUGGGAACGUGCCUUUAGGUUCGGAAUAACUCAGGGAAACUUGUGCUAAUACCGAAUGUGCCAUUCGGGGGAAAGAUUUAUCGCCUUUAGAGCGGCCCGCGUCUGAUUAGCUAGUCGGUGAGGUAAUGGCUCACCAAGGCUACGAUCAGUAGCUGGUCUGAGAGGAUGACCAGCCACAUUGGGACUGAGACACGGCCCAAACUACUACGGGAGGCAGCAGUGGGGAAUCUUGCGCAAUGGGCGAAAGCCUGACGCAGCCAUGCCGCGUGGAUGAUGAAGGUCUUAGGAUUGUAAAAUCCUUUCACCGGUGAAGAUAAUGACUGUAGCCGGAGAAGAGGCCCCGGCUAACUUCGUGCCAGCCGCCGCCGUAACAC